UGACACUUUGUUGAGAUGAACCAUCGCUGAGACGUGACUUUUAAAGUCCGAAUGUGUAAGAUUGAGCCCCUUCCAGUUCAAGGGUGUGAAAAACCAGACAGUUUUCUGUCACCUCUGGCUGUGCAACGGCGCGACGGUUACUGGCGUAGCUCGGCCUGCUGGGUGGCGUGAGUGGGAGGGGCUUCGGGGGUCGAUAGAAUGAUUGAUGAAAGGACAGCUUUUUUUAUUUGACAACUAUAAAUGUGAGCCGAUGUGAUUUUAUUGAUGACCUUAUUUGAGUCUGUGGUUCACUCUGUUCCCAUGCAGGAGUUCCUCCUGUCCUCGAAUGACCUAGAGAACUUGGAGGGGGGUGCCAUGGACAAGUCUAGCCUGCUCCUCCGCUCCUCCUCGAACGCGUUCCUGCUUCGGAGCAGCUCCAGAGGCGACGGCACCGUGCCUUCAGGGACCCGUCGAGAAGGUUCGGUGGGCCAGGGGGUCGUCCUGGUGGUGGACGAGGACACCGACCUGUUCCACCCCGUCUUCCAGGGGGUAGGGGGUCAGCUCAACCCCCAGUGGAAGCCCCCCAGGACGGGCGCAAAGGGCCACCACGAGGGCAAGGCCGGAGCUCCCUUCAAAGGCCUGGAGGAGAACACCACAACCGGGAAGAGGGUGGAGACCGACUCGGGGGCCAGAGGGGAAUCCCUUCUUCCUGGAACCCCCAAGGGGGACAUUAUCCUGGACCUAGACACAAGGACCGGCCCCAAGAAGCCCUCUGGUACAUUCCCUGAUGGCAAGAUCCCCUCUGGAGAUCACACAAGGAACCCUGGAGCAGACGACGUGCAGGAGGGUGGCUCCUCCACUGGCUCUGCCGGGACCCCCUCAGGCAAGAGGGUCCCCGGGGAGAGGAGCGUCAGCUUGGACAACGCCAUCGAUGAAAAGCACCAGGGCUUCGUUGGCGGCGUAUCCGGAGACAGGGACGUGGCCCUGGGCUCAGACGGCCGCUGGUACAGGCUACAGAGAGGGGCCCUUGGACGCAUGGGACCUCCAGGGACAGAAGGCGACCCCGGCGACCCUGGCCUGCCCGGUUUUAAAGGGGACAAGGGGAAGUUGGGCCCCUGGGGUCAGGCAGGGAGGCGGGGGGACCAGGGCCCUCCAGGACCACCAGGGCUGCCCUCCCUCUACCUGUGGAAGAACACUGCAGAGGAGUGGGCUGCCUUUCAGCAAACCAACUUCUUCCAUCUCCUGAGAUCAGGCUGGCCUAGUACAGAAGGAGCAGAGGGACCCCCGGGGGAGAUGGGCAGGCUGGGGAAUCAGGGUCUUCCUGGUGAUCAGGGAGAGCGAGGGCGACCAGGGAUAAUGGGCGAGAUGGGUGAACGGGGAAACAGAGGGGCUACAGGCACGCCAGGGAUCCCAGGAAAGGAUGGGCAGAGUGGGCAGCACGGGCAGCAAGGACCCCCUGGACCUCCAGGACCAAAGGUGGUGGCAAAGAAGCCAACAAACCCAAACGACACAAUAAUACCACAGUAA
rnacentral:lncRNA from 1 species